UUGCUGUGGAGCAACCCAAUGUAUGUGAGUAUCAAUAAAACCUGGUGUAGCAAUUAACCCUUCUCCGGAAAUGAUUUCAGUUGAAGAGCCUAAAACAAAAUUUACACCAUCCAUUGUAAAAGGAUUGCCACCAUGACCAAUCCCAACAAUUAAACCAUCUUUUAUCCCAAUAUCUGCUUUUAUAACUCCUAAUAAAGGGUCGAGAAUUACUACAUUGGUAAUUAUUAAAUCCAUCACCUCUUCCUCCCUAACGUUUGGU
rnacentral:ncRNA from 1 species